GCCAAUUCUGCCCCCCAAAGAAUGACUGUAAAACAAAUGCCAUGUGCUACACAUCGAUUGAACAUUAGCUAGCAGGACGGAAGGCAAAGGCAGAUUAGCCACUCGUCAUCUGAUCCUCACAAGGCACCCUGAUCUUUUCCCGCUAAAUCUCAGUUUCCUUCUCCAGGGAAUGACGGGGAUCUGGGCCUGGUCGGGUGUCUGUAGUAUAUCCCUCCCGUCCAACUCAUUGAAGAAACACUCUUAGUCUAAUCUGAGAUGGGUGGACCGAAAACCCAGUGACAACGCUUGGGUCUGCAGCUGUCAUUUUCCGUUGAGCAAGAGAAAUGGCCCUGUAUUUACCAGAGAAGGUAGCUCAUCCACCAUGGCAGAAGAGGAAGAUCCAGACCUAUCCACCAUGGCAGACAAUGAAGUUCGAGGCCCCUCGGCCGCUGGAGAAUG
ensembl:lncRNA